rnacentral:rRNA from 1 species
CAAAAGAUCGAACGAGGAGAUUCAUCGUCAACGGUUCUGGCUCCCGAUGGUGCGCGAUGCCCCGAAUUGUUGGGCCAUUAAUGGUUCCACGGCGAGGGCACGCCACCUUCGGCCUGAAUGUUCCGGUGCCGUAGACGUGCACUUCUCCCCUAGUAGAAACGUCGCGAUCCGUUGUGUGUCGGUUUACGGCCCGAGCGGGCGCCUGACAGCGUAUUUCGCUGUCAGACCCUCGGUCGCCUGACCGGCUGCACGACGGUACUCCCAUGGUAUCGGGCCGCAACCAAUCCGUUAUCGAAUCGGUGUGCGUCAGGCCCGCCGCAAGCUCGAUCAGUUCUUACCCGGUGGUUACGGACCCAGUGCCGUCCCCGGGCCUGAUCAGCUGUUAGCAGGCGGUGUCCUCGGACUGGCCAAGCUUCGAAUUACCGUUCAGCGACGCUACUGCUUUGGGUACUCUCAGGACCCGUCUUGAAACACGGACCAAGGAGUCUAACAUGUGCGCGAGUCAUUGGGAUGCAUAAACCUAAAGGCGAAAUGAAAGUGAAGGUCGUCCUUUGCGUCGAUCUAGGGAGGAUGGGCCGCGUUACGAGGCGGCCCCGCACUCCCGGGGCGUCUCGUUCUCAUCGCGAGAAGAGGCGCACCCAGAGCGUACACGUUGGG